GACGAACGCUGGCGGCGUGCUUAACACAUGCAAGUCGAACGGAAAGGCCCUGCUUUUGUGGGGUGCUCGAGUGGCGAACGGGUGAGUAACACGUGAGUAACCUGCCCUUGACUUUGGGAUAACUUCAGGAAACUGGGGCUAAUACCGGAUAGGAGCUCCUGCUGCAUGGUGGGGGUUGGAAAGUUUCGGCGGUUGGGGAUGGACUCGCGGCUUAUCAGCUUGUUGGUGGGGUAGUGGCUUACCAAGGCUUUGACGGGUAGCCGGCCUGAGAGGGUGACCGGCCACAUUGGGACUGAGAUACGGCCCAGACUGCUACGGGAGGCAGCAGUGGGGAAUAUUGCACAAUGGGCGGAAGCCUGAUGCAGCAACGCCGCGUGCGGGAUGACGGCCUUCGGGUUGUAAACCGCUUUCGCCGGUGACGAAGCGUGAGUGACGGUAAUGGGUAAAGAAGCACCGGCUAACUACGUG
rnacentral:rRNA from 1 species